UAAGGACCCCCAAAACGUGUUAGUCGCGCGGACAGAAGGGAGCUUGCUUCGGUAUAUUAUCUGCGGACGGGUGAGUACACGUGGGUAACCUGCCUGUAGACUGGGAUAACUCCGGGAAACCGGGCUAAUACCGGAUAGUUCCUUGAACCGCAUGUUCAGGUGAAAAGACGGUUUCGGCUUGUCAUUUCCGGAUGGACCCGGGGGCGAUUAACCUAGUUUGGGGGGGAACGGCUCACCAGGGGAAGUUGCGUGCCAACUUGAGGGGUAGACGGCCACUUGGGACUGAAACCCGCCCAAACCCCUGGGGGGGAGGGGGGGGGAUUUUCCCGAAAUGCAGAAGUUUUGCGGAACAACCCCCCCGGAAUGAAGAAGGUUUUUCGAUUCUAAAGCUUUUUUGUAGGGGAAAAACAAGUCAAGAUACUUCUUUGACUUGGCGGACCUAACAGAAGCCACGGUAACUCCGGCCACGGCGGGGAAUUCGUGGUGGAAGCUUUCCGAAUUAUUGGCGUAAGGCUCGAGCGUUUCUAAGUCUAUGAAAGCCCCGCUCACGGGAGGUCAUGGAACUGGAACUGGUGCGGAGAGGAGGGGGAUCCCGGUGCGUAAUCGUAGAUGGAGACCAUUGGAAGCAUCUGCUGGAUGGAGUUGAGGGACGUGGAGAACGAUGAUCCUGUGUCCAGCGUUACGUUUUCAAUGCGUGGAAAUAUGGAGGACCCCAGUGCGAAGGACUCUCCUGUCUGUAACUGACCUGAGGACGAAAGCGUGGGAAACGAACAGGAUAUAUACCCCUGGUAGUCCACGCCGUAACGAUGAGUGCUAAGUGUUAGGGGUUUCCCCCCUUAGUCCUGCAGCUAACGCAUUAAGACUCCGCCUGGGAGUACGGUCGCAAGACUGAACUCAAAGGAAUUGACGGGGGCCCGCACAAGCGGUGGAGCAUGUGGUUUUAAUUCGAAGCAACGCGAAGAACCUUACCAGGUCUUGACAUCCUCCUGACAACCCUAGAGAAUAGGGGCUUUCCCUCCGGGGACAGAGUGACAGGUGGUGCAUGGUUGUCGUCAGCUCCGUGUCGUGAGAUGUUGGGUUAAGUCCCCCAACGAGCGCAACCCUUGAUCUUAGUUGCCAGCAUUUAGUUGGGCACUCUAAGGUGACUGCCGGUGACAAACCGGAGGGAAGGUGGGGAUGACGUCAAAUCAUCAUGCCCCUUAUGACCUGGGCUACACACGUGCUACAAUGGACAGAACAAAGGGCUGCGAGACCGCAAGGUUUAGCCAAUCCCACAAAUCUGUUCUCAGUUCGGAUCGCAGUCUGCAACUCGACUGCGUGAAGCUGGAAUCGCUAGUAAUCGCGGAUCAGCAUGCCGCGGUGAAUACGUUCCCGGGCCUUGUACACACCGCCCGUCACACCACGAGAGUUUGCAACAUACGAAGUCGGUGAGGUAACCAAGAUGUAAAAGCUCCUAUAGGCGUUUCCU
rnacentral:rRNA from 1 species